rnacentral:rRNA from 1 species
AUUGAACGCUGGCGGCAGGCCUAACACAUGCAAGUCGAACGGUAACAGGAAACAGCUUGCUGUUUCGCUGACGAGUGGCGGACGGGUGAGUAAUGUCUGGGAAACUGCCUGAUGGAGGGGGAUAACUACUGGAAACGGUAGCUAAUACCGCAUAACGUCGCAAGACCAAAGAGGGGGACCCUCGGGCCUCUUGCCAUCGGAUGUGCCCAGAUGGGAUUAGCUUGUUGGUGGGGUAACGGCUCACCAAGGCGACGAUCCCUAGCUGGUCUGAGAGGAUGACCAGCCACACUGGAACUGAGACACGGUCCAGACUCCUACGGGAGGCAGCAGUGGGGAAUAUUGCACAAUGGGCGCAAACCUGAUGCAGCCAUGCCGCGUGUAUGAAGAAGGCCUUCGGGUUGUAAAGUACUUUCAGCGGGGAGGAAGGGAGUAAAGUUAAUACCUUUGCUCAUUGACGUUACCCGCAGAAGAAGCACCGGCUAACUCCGUG